UUUCCCUCAGGAUAGCUGGCACUCGCUCGAGCGAGUCUCAUCUGGUAAAGCGAAUGAUUAGAGGCCUUGGGGCCGAAACGACCUCAACCUAUUCUCAAACUUUAAAUGGGUGAGAUCUCUGGCUUGCUUGAACGUUGAAGCCACGAGAUGCGUCGUGCUCCGCUCCGGCGGGGUGCGGCGCAAUGGAUCAGAGUGCCAAGUGGGCCAAUUUUGGUAAGCAGAACUGGCGCUGUGGGA
rnacentral:rRNA from 1 species